GAUGAACGCUGGCGGCGUGCCUAAUACAUGCAAGUCGAGCGAAUGAUGAGGAGCUUGCUCCUCUGAUUUGGCGGCGGACGGGUGAGUAACACGUGGGUAAUCUGCCUGUAAGACGGGGAUAACUCCGGGAAACCGGGGCUAAUACCGGAUAACAAGAGAAGAAGCAUUUCUUCUUUUUGAAAGUCGGUUUUUGCUGACACUUACAGAUUAGCCCCCGGGGCAUUAGCUAGUUGGUGAGGUAACGGCUCACCAAGGCGACGAAGCGUAGCCGACCUGAGAGGGUGAUCGGCCACACUGGGACUGAGACACGGCCCAGACUCCUACGGGAGGCAGCAGUAGGGAAUCUUCGGCAAUGGGCGAAAGCCUGACCGAGCAACGCCGCGUGAGCGAUGAAGGCCUUCGGGUCGUAAAGCUCUGUUGUUAGAGAAGAACAAGUACGAGAGUAACUGCUCGUACCUUGACGGUACCUAACCAGAAAGCCACGGCUAACUACGUGCCAGCCGCCGCCGUAAUAC
rnacentral:rRNA from 1 species